CUGCACCUAAUUUGCUUAAAAAUAAAGUGAAUCAUGUUCUCUUAUGUGCAGACAUGAUGGAACAGCAGCCUCUACAUGCUGCAGAGCCUACUGCAACAAGAACGUGCUAUUAGUGUCUUUGCAGCUGAGCGCACUCUACCAGCAUCACUGACACCUCACCAGUGGGAGCUGAUGAAUAAGACUGCUGAUGUGCUAUCCCCCUUUGAAGAGCUGACCAGGGAUGUGAGCAGGGAGACUGCAACUGCAGCUGAUGUGACCCCUGCCAUAACAGAUAAUAUUCCUCAGACGUGUUCUGUCUCGGGAGGAUGAUGAUGACCAGGGAAUAAAAACAAUGAAGAGGACUCUGCUGGAGGCAGUGGAGAAGCGCUUUGCUGAUGUUGAAACUGAGCCACUCUUCUACAUCGCCACUCUUCUAGAUCCCAGAUACAAAGAUGGCUUUUUCACAAAGUCAGCCAACCUGUUGCUUGCAAAGGAACACCUUAUCCAGGAGGUGGCAAAGACAGAGGGGAGGAGGGCUGUCAGUGCAGUGUCAGAGGAAAAUGAGGCUGCAGCAGAGCCAGUGAGCAAGGCACCACAUCAUGAAGCAUGUAGCAGCCUGGACAUCGCCUUUGAGGAAAUCUUACAAGAGAGGCAGUCACAGGGACAGUCCGUGAGUACCACAUCAGCAGAAACUCAAGUGCAGACCUACCUCUCAGAAAAAAACACCCCUAAGGAAAGCGACCCACAUCAGUACUGGAAAGAACAUGCUAAUCAGUUUCCCUCUAUGGCUGCUGUUGCAACCCAGUAUCUCAGUGCCCCCUGCAGCUCUGUGGACAGUGAGAGACUUUUUAGUGCCGUUGCAAACGUCCUUGAUCAGAACAGAAACAGGCUCAAACCUGACAUGGUAGAGAUGUUAGUUUUCAUUAAGAAAAACAUACAUUUCCUUCUGUGAAACUUACUACUGUGAUGGCAGUAAGAGUUAGGAGUGCAGUUCCUAAAAGCACAUUACUGGCUUUGCAAACACUGUGGCACUUUUAUUUUUUUUUAUGUUUACAUGCCUGCCGGGUAUUUUAAGUUGAGGUGCUAUUUGUUUUUAUAUUAGACUUUUUUUUAUAUUUACUGUUGCACUAAAGUCCAAAAGUGAAGAAUUUAUGUUAUUUAUUACUUGAUUGUUAAAGCUACCUCAAAGAAGUGCUCUGUUUGUUAACAGAGUUGUUGAAUGUUAAAAUAAGGUGAAUAAAAAUAAAAAAUAAGGAACA
ensembl:lncRNA